GACGAACGCUGGCGGCGUGCCUAACACAUGCAAGUCGUACGGGCUUGGGGGGCGAACCCUCAAGUCAGUGGCGGACGGGUGCGUAACACGUGAGCAACCUGUCUCUGGGUGGGGGAGUAGCCGGCCCAACGGCCGGGUAAUACCGCAUGAUCCGCCGGGGUCGGCAUGACUCUGGUGUGAAAGCGGCCGCAAGGUCGCGCCAAGAGAGGGACUCGCGGCGUAUCAGCUAGUUGGCGGGGUAACGGCCACCAAGGCGACGACGCGUAGCUGGUCUGAGAGGAUGGCCAGCCACAUUGGGACUGAGAUACGGCCCAGACUCCUACGGGAGGCAGCAGUGGGGAAUAUUGCGCAAUGGCCGCAAGGCUGACGCAGCGACGCCGCGUGUGGGAUGAAGGCC
rnacentral:rRNA from 1 species